GGCCGCGGGAAUUCGAUUCAGGCCUAACACAUGCAAGUCGAGCGAACAGAUAAGGAGCUUGCUCCUUUGACGUUAGCGGCGGACGGGUGAGUAACACGUGGGUAACCUACCUAUAAGACUGGGAUAACUUCGGGAAACCGGAGCUAAUACCGGAUAACAUUUGGAACCGCAUGGUUCUAAAGUGAAAGAUGGUUUUGCUAUCACUUAUAGAUGGACCCGCGCCGUAUUAGCUAGUUGGUAAGGUAACGGCUUACCAAGGCGACGAUACGUAGCCGACCUGAGAGGGUGAUCGGCCACACUGGAACUGAGACACGGUCCAGACUCCUACGGGAGGCAGCAGUAGGGAAUCUUCCGCAAUGGGCGAAAGCCUGACGGAGAAAGGCCGCGUGAGUGAUGAAGGGUUUCGGCUCGUAAAACAAAGGGAUUAGGGAAGAACAAAUGUGUAAGUAACUGUGCACGUCUUGACGGUA
rnacentral:rRNA from 1 species